UACGGGGGGGGCAAGCGUUGUUCGGAAUUACUGGGCGUAAAGGGCUUGUAGGUGGCCAACUAAGUCAGACGUGAAAUCCCUCGGCUUAACCGGGGAACUGCGUCUGAUACUGGAUGGCUGGAGUGUGGGAGAGGGAUGCGGAAUUCCCGGUGUAGCGGUGAAAUGCGCAGAUAUCGGGAGGAACACCAGUGGCGAAGGCGGCUUCCUGGACCUGUUCUGACACUGAGGAGCGAAAGCGUGGGGAGCGAUCCGG
rnacentral:rRNA from 1 species